AAUUAUGGUGGGCUGGGCGAGGCAGCUUCAGCUGGCCGUUUCCAAGGUUGUGGUAGGACUAACCUCGUUUAGUUCACCACCA
rnacentral:antisense_RNA from 16 species